rnacentral:lncRNA from 1 species
GUCACCCUAGGGGAACCUGGUGGCAGUCGGCACACAUAAGGGCUUCGUGCAGAUCUGGGAUGCUGCCGCUGGCAAGAAGCUAUCUGUGCUGGAGGGACACACAGCGCGCGUGGGGGCGCUGGCCUGGAAUGCUGACCAGCUGUCAUCCGGUAGCCGGGACCGCAUGAUCCUGCAACGGGACAUCCGCACACCAGCACUGCAGUCAGAGCGGCGGCUGCAAGGCCAUCGACAGGAAGUAUGCGGCCUGAAGUGGUCCACAGACCACCAGCUGCUCGCCUCGGGGGGCAAUGACAACAAGGUAGGGCUGUGUCCCCCAAGCUCCUGCUAGAACCGGGGACAGGCAUAUGUGACCUGAUGCCCCCAAGGGAAAGGGUGGGUUUACAGGGUGCACAGAGGUCAUGGCCUGGGUAUUGGAAACUUGUAUGUCGGGGGUCAUCUUGAGGACUUUGUCCC